GGGGUUCUAGUAUAGCGGUAAGAUAUUCUCUUAGGGAGCGAAAGGUCCCGAGUUGAAUUCUCGGAAUCCCCA
rfam:Triticum aestivum genome assembly, contig: Triticum_aestivum_CS42_TGACv1_scaffold_288265_4AL